GUUUGAUUCUUCAUUCUACACUACCUUACAAAAAUAAUUGUGCACAAGGCAGAAACCUGUGAUUACUUUUGUGGUAGGCAGCAUUUAACCUUACCCCAGUGUUUAUAAAAUGAUGACAAAGAGCUCUCUGCGGGUUUCGUCUAUGGAUAAGCUGAUGAUCCAGAUUCCGGACCUGUGAGCCUGAGUGAAUAGACCUUGACUCUGUAGGAGCUUCUAAGAAGUACUAAUCAAUGAGGCCCAGGCUAAAAUGGUCGUUUAAAAAACAAGAACAAAAAUCUUUCCUCUGUUGGGUGAGAUCUGAGGAAACAGCUCUUGCUUCUUGCACACAAAUGAGCUCAGUCCAUUUCCCCUCUGUUUCUCUGGAAAGUACUCUUGGCUUUUGUUUAAAGCACAGUAUGUUAAAGCUGGAAGUGGCCUUAUGGGUCACCUGGUUCAAGUCAACUUGGCAGAUGGAGAAAGUAAGGCUCAGAAAGAGAAAGUGAUUUCAUGGUAAGACAUGGAGUAUAAUUUGACUCUCAUAAUUGCUGGAUUAAUCCUUUCCAAUUUAUCUUGCCAUUCCAAAGGUGGGCCAGAGGCAUGUACAACUCUGUGUGUGUGCGUGUGUGUGUAUUUUUCUAUUUUCUUUAGAGCACUAAUUUCAUUCAUCCAAUCACACAACAAAUAUAUUCAAACAUCUGAAAUCUGCUGGAUGGGGGCACCUGGCUGGCUCAGUCCAUAGAGUGUGCCAUUCUUGAUCUUGGGAUUGAGAAUUUGAGCCCCAUGUUGGCUGUAGAGUUAAUAAAAAAUCAAAAAUAAAAACA
rnacentral:lncRNA from 12 species